rnacentral:pre_miRNA from 1 species
CAUUUGCCCAUCACAUCUCGACUAACUCGAUUCAGUUGAUGUUAAUUAGAUAUCACUGGGUUGAGUUUGUCUCGAUGUUUUGUGCCCAUC